AUUGAACGCUGGCGGCAGGCCUAACACAUGCAAGUCGAACGAGUGGCGGACGGGUGAGUAAUGUAUGGGAAACUGCCCGAUGGAGGGGGAUAACUACUGGAAACGGUAGCUAAUACCGCAUACUAUCGGAUGUGCCCAGAUGGGAUUAGCUAGUAGGUGGGGUAAAGGCUCACCUAGGCGACGAUCCCUAGCUGGUCUGAGAGGAUGACCAGCCACACUGGAACUAGGACACGGUCCAGACUCCUACGGGAGGCAGCAGUGGGGAAUAUUGCACAAGGGGCGCAAGCCUGAUGCAGCCAUGCCGCGUGUAUGAAGAGGGCCUUCGGGUUGUAAAGUACUUUCAGCGAGGAGGCGUUACUCGCAGAAGAAGCACCGGCUAACUCCGUGCCAGCAGCCGCGGUAAUUC
rnacentral:rRNA from 1 species